rnacentral:rRNA from 1 species
GACGAACGCUGGCGGCGUGCUUAACACAUGCAAGUCGAGCGGUAAGGCCCUUUCGGGGGUACACGAGCGGCGAACGGGUGAGUAACACGUGGGUGACCUGCCCUUAGCUCUGGGAUAAGCCUGGGAAACUGGGUCUAAUACCGGAUAUGACUCCAUGACGCAUGUUGUGGGGUGGAAAGCCUUGUGCGGCUAGGGAUGGGCCCGCGGCCUAUCAGCUUGUUGGUGGGGGUGAUGGCCUACCAAGGCGACGACGGGUAGCCGGCCUGAGAGGGCGACCGGCCACACUGGGACUGAGACACGGCCCAGACUCCUACGGGAGGCAGCAGUGGGGAAUCUUGCGCAAUGGCGAAAGCCUGACGCAGCGACGCCGCGUGAGGGAUGACGGCCU